AUCGAUGAAGAACGCAGCGAAUCGCGAUAAGUAAUGUGAAUUGCAGAUUUUCAGUGAAUCAUCGAAUCUUUGAACGCACCUUGCGCCCCUUGGUAUUCCGAGGGGCAUGCCUGUUUGAGUGUCAUUUUAUCAUCAACUCAUUAGUCUUUGAUUAGGCUUUUGGGCUUGGACUUGGGAAUUGCUGGCUUGAUCUUUUUACCCAUUGAACAGUAUCUAAUACUUAAUAGAGGGAAAAAAGUGUAGUCGGCUGUCCUUAAAUGCAUUAGCGAGUGUUAGUCUACAUGGCACGGCCUCUUGACGUGAUAAUGAUCGUCGUGGGCUGGAAGUGUAGUGUCUGGCUUCUAAUCAUUGAUUGCGUGCAUACGGCCCAUAAAGCUGGAAGCGCAACGAACCCCCUACUAUGUGCAUACGGCCCUUAAAGCUGGAAGCAUAGUCGGAAAUUGACAUUUGACCUCAAAUCAGGUAGGACUACCCGCUGAACUUAAGCAUAUCAAUAAGCGGAGGAAAAGAAACUAACAAGGAUUCCCCUAGUAACUGCGAGUGAAGAGGGAAAAGCUCAAAUUUUGAAUCUGGCGGUCAUCUAGGCCGUCCGAAUUGUAAUCUAGAGAAGUGUCUUCCGCGCUGGCCCGUGUACAAGUCUCCUGGAAGGGAGCAUCAUAGAGGGUGAGAAUCCCGUCUUUGACACGGACUACCAGGGCUAUGUGAUGCACUCUCAACGAGUCGAGUUGUUUGGGAAUGCAGCUCAAAAUGGGUGGUAAAUUCCAUCUAAAGCUAAAUACAGGCGAGAAACCGAUAGUGAACAAGUACCGUGAGGGAAAGAUCAAAAGAACUUUGAAAAGAGAGUUAAACAGUACGUGAAAUUGCUGAAAGGGAAACGCUUGAUGUCAGUCGCGUUGAUUAGGGAUCAACCUUUAAUUAGGUGUACUUCCUAGUCGACGGGUCAGCAUCAGUUUCGGUCAUCGUACAAAGGCAAGGGAAAGUAACUUAUAAUUAUGGACCCUCGUCGGAUGCGGUGGUCGGGACUGAGGAAACCUCUGCACCUUUUCGUUAGUGUGUUCAGAGAUGCUGGCAUAAUGGCCUUAAGCGACCCGUCUUGAAACACGG
rnacentral:rRNA from 1 species